rnacentral:misc_RNA from 1 species
AGUAAUCACACUCUCCACGGCGAAAGGAAUGAACAUUGGCAUUCGGGUUCGAAUUCCCAUACGAUACAAAAUUAGAAUUCCCAUGAGAAUCCAAUCCCUGAUUUCUAUUCAACCCAUUAGGUAUUGGCUCCCUAAACCCCACUUCGCGGUUUAAAUCCUUGGCAGAGCUACUAUUCCCAUUAACCAAAACCCUAGGAAAUUGAGUAGGAGAAAA